GUGGACCUCAUCGGACCCUUUACAAAAUCCAGGAAUGGCAGCAGCUGGUGUCUGACGGCGACCAAUCACUUUACCAAGAGGGUGGAGGCAAUACCCAUUAAGGACGAGACUGGCAAGGCCAUGGUUCUCCUGAGGUCAUCUUGAGUGACCGAGGUCAUGAACGCUGGAACAAGAUAUCGCUUUCCUACCCCCUCCUCCAUGUUUGGUGAAUGGACAAACUAGACCCUCAAGACUGGCACGGGAAAGUCCCUUGAUUGGUACCAGGAAUGGUGGGAGAACAACCUGAAGGUAAUUCUCUUUGCACACAACAGCAUCCAGGCCUCCACCGAGUACGGACAGGAGCAGCAGCUGUUGAUUGAGGAAAACAAUGCAAUUGUAUAUACAAUUAUUGCAUAUACUGUAGUUUCUUAAUUUGGUAUUUACUUUGUGUUGUUUGUCUAUUGACAUUUUUGUAUAACAUACUUUCAGAUCUUCCUGAGUGGUGCAGUGGUCUAAGAACUGCAUCACAGUGCUAGCUGUGCCACUAGAGAUUCUGGGUUAGAGUCCGCAACCGGUAGACCCAUGGGGCGGCCCACAAUUGGCCAAGCGUCGCCCAGGUUAGGGGAGGGUUUGG